AGAAUGACCAGUGCAGUUGUCUGCACUCUGUCUAGCUUUUGAAGAGGGUGAGCAGUAAAUAUGCAUUUUUUUCAUGAUCCUAUCUCUUUAUUGCUCAUUUGUUUGUUUCUGUUGAACCAUGACAUUUAAAAGAAAUCACAGGAAUUUUGAAGGUCUGUUUAAUGCUGCUGCUUCUUGAAUAGCACUGCUUAGGAAUGCCAGGCCUAAUGAGUCUCAGGUUUUGUAAAGUAGCUGGCCAUCAUUUUCAUCUAUAGGAUACUGCAGUUUUUUUCCUGGAUUUCAGUAAAGUUCAGUUUCCACCAAGCAGGGUCUGCAUUGGAAGCUUGGAUGCAAGUUUAGAUAAAGCAAGACACCAUCCACCCACCUAUCUGUCCAUCCAUAAUGACAAAUCAUCAACAUUAACAUAGCUCUCUAGCAGAGAUUUACCACUGUUUAGCACAGAAUAACCAGUAUUUCUUAAUAGGUAUUGAACAGUUCCUAUUGAUUUCACAUGGAAUAGCAUUACUCAGUUGUGUCCUUACCUGAAGUAGACUGAUACUCUAUAGAACUGCUUAGAUUUCUACAUGGGCUCUCAUUCAGCCUUUUUAUUUUCUCUGAGUGAUUAACUGGUGGAACUGGCCUAAAUGAUAAUAGGCAAGCACAUGUAGUCAAGCACAAGUAAGUCUUUCACAAGGCUAGAAGCCAUUGCAAAGUUAUUUGUAGUGCAUGUAUGCAAAUCAACUUCAGUUUGAGAUAGUAUGGGAGAAGUUGGAGGGGGAUUUCCCUGCUUUAUGUAAUCUGUUGUUGCUCUUAGCUUCCUCUAUUCACAUGGCUCGGAGGCACAGGCAUGACACCACCGGUAAUUUCUCAAACUCAAUCUGAAAGCAAAGACAAUGUGCUCAGUGACCUUCAGCAGCCUUGCGGCUUUCAGUAAAUCCUCCAGCUCUGGCUCAGUGAUAUCCAGAAUAAAGGUGGCCUGGAGGAGAAGUUGGGGAAUGACUCCUCUGGUGGGGGCUUCACUCACUUACUGGCAUGUUUCAAAAGUGGGUGCCAGCCAGGAAGAUCUGUGUGCUAGCCACAGAUACGACUCUCUCUACUGCAUCUCUAACUACCAUUUCUCCAUCCAUACAAAGUGCUGCACUGGGCACAGGAUCCAUGCAUCCAGUUCAGUGUGGAAUCAGCAUGGCACAGUUCUGAAACCAGGUUGCCAGCCACACUGUCACAGCCAUCCCCAGGUGGGGGCUGGGAAAAGACAAGUCUCACGUGCUCAGGCACAUCUAGCAGAGACAUUCAUGGCAUGGACAGGCUGGGCAAGCAGAGACCCUAAAGCAUGUCCUCCUCAGGGAGGUGGAAUGCCACGGAUGCAAACAGCCCAUGGGGUGCUAUGCUGUUGAGGGCAGCCUGUGCUGAGGUGCAGGUGAGUGGCUCUGUGCCAGCCUGUGUAUCAGCCUCUACAUGGUAUUCUGUGCUGAACUGAUUGCGGUGUUGUUAUUCCAUGUGAGAAGAUUUACAAUCCAGAUUCUGAGAAAUGGGCUUACCAAAAACUGCUGCUAAGGGAAAUACAACAGGUGAAGUAAGCAUGGUGGCACUGAAGAGGAAGGAAAUCUCUCUGCAGCGCACUGAUAAGAGCAUGCUUGUUAUACACUGCGUUCAGUUUGGACAAUCCACAACCAGGAAAACAUAGGCUAGCUGAAGGAAACGCAGCUUGGAGGCCCUAGGGACCAAAUCAGUCUGUUAAAGUGCUUUGUUGGUUUUAUGUAUCAGUACUUAAUUAGGAUGCUUAACAAACACAUCAGAAAGAUAGUAACUGUUAAAUAUUCAGCAGGAUGACCUUUCAGUUACAACUCAGAAUGAAGUUCUCUUAAAGCUCGUUUUAGGCACUCCAACAAUGCCAGAGGAAUUGGACUGGACCGAAAUAAGCCCCCCCCCAAAAAAAAAGCAAAAAAAAAAGUAAAAAAAAAAAAGUAGUGUACUGUUGAUUGUAGAGACCUGGCUAAAAACCCAGGUCUUGCCACUGGCUCCCUGCAUGUUUCCUGCUCUGUGCUUCAGUCUUCCCAUCUAUAAAAAGAGUGUAGUCAUACUGGCAGUUCUGGUAAGCCUUUGAGAUGAGCGGAUAGAAAAGCCAUAAUAAGUUAUUUAUAACUUACUCUUAUUUCUGAGUAAGGAAGAGCAAAGACCAGAAGCCAUCAAGCUUUCAGGUUUUCUUGAUUAUCAUAAAACAGAAAAAAGCGCCAUGUAACAUGAAUUUCACACUGCAGAAAGGUUUAGCGAGUCACCCUUAAGGAGAAAGAGUGGGAGCACAACUAAAGAAAAUUACAAGCAGGCAGACAGUCAGGAAAACACUCCAGAUGGUGGAGUGAGUUAGGCAGCAGAGCUGGCUCCCACAGGAAGCGGUGAAACCCCCAUUGUUUGAGACAUUUGAAACGGAAUUCUUCAAAGUGCUGGUGUAUAUAAUACAAGGAACUGCUCUGCGCUGCUUCAAACAGGUAAUGACUCUGGGACAAUCCAUACAGAGCGACACACCAUUUGUGCAACCUUUAGGAGAAUUCUUGCUGCUGUGACUACGAGAAGCUGUAGGGUCUCUUUUUUAUCGGUAUAUUAUCUGAGGAACAACUACAGGGGUGCAACUACACAGUGGCUUUGCAGGAGAUGGACUCAGUAACCCUUAACAGAUCUUCCGCAUUCCCACUUUGAGAUCUGAAGUUUGUAUAUCCAAGAAGGGAAAAACUGACACCUAUUCUCUGUCUAAUGAUUAUGGUGUGCAUCCAAUUAUUUAGGACUAUUUAUUUCCUAUAUUAUAAUCUAAUGAGAAACUGGGUGGCUUGAUUUUUACAAGCGGUGGUUUGCAGAAGAAAGACUGUGAUUUUAAUAGGAACCAAAUGAGAGCUCAUUACGCAAACGGCAUUAUGAGAUGCAGAACUGAUGUUGCAAUGCUAAAUGCUCUAGGUCAAACUCACCAAAAUGGGAACUGGCAGCGGCUUGCUGGAAUGCUGGGGUUUCUCCACACUCAAAUACUACAGCAAACAUUUCCCACUACUGCUAAUGCUGGUUCAGCUCCUCUGGAGGUAGCUGUGGAGGGAGCCCGACUGCUUCUGUUGUUACUGGCACUUAAAAUCUCUAGACCUUCUCUGAAACACACAUUCAGAGCUUUGGGCCAGUUUUAUUGAUACAACUUGGUUUACUGGUUGGAGCAGGUAGAGGAAGGGAAAUUUUUAAAAGGAGCUUAGAAAUUGGAGUUUUAAUGCCUUCAUUUCCUCUUGGUCUCAUACCUGCUGGUAUAUGAAGAAAGAGGCAAAUUGAUUCAGAUGGCAGAAGUGCACCGGUGACCCAGCCUUAUUUUGUUCACUUUGGCUCUGUACAGACUUCUCUCAUGGGCUCCCUACCUUCAGUACUUACACCUUUGUGAUGACCCAAACAUGUCAGGUCUCGAGCCCUCCUUCCUGUGGUAUGGGAAGGGACAGGUAGCUGAGGGACCUGCCCAGGGGCAGGACAAGUGAGCUCCUGAUCCUUCCAAACACUGGGCUCUGCAAGGCCUCGAGCGCUGCAGCAUGCUGCACGUGAAGGCUGGCACCAUCUCCGUGCUGCUGCCGUCCCGGCCAAAAAUGUGGCAAUUUCCUUAGGAAUGAAUCACUAACAGAAAACAAACAAGAGCUAUUUGAGAAGUUUCUCCUUCCCUCUAAAUGUCCUGUCCGGUAUCAUAUUCCUGACAGUUUAUUCUACAAGAAUUUAGUCAUCUAAGGUUUCAGUGACUCAUCUGAUGAACCUUCUACCCAUUUCCUGGAAAGAGUCCUGUGCAGUCCCAGACUCAUUCUGCCUACAUUUUCAUAUAUUCCAACUUUCCACCAUUUUAGGGGUGGGGGAGAGGCAAAAAAAUAUUUUGAAUGCACUGAAUGUGCAAAGUAACUGGAAAACAGAGUGUCGAAAGAAACAUCUGGAAAACAAAGAUGGGCACUGAAUCACAGAAUCUCUUUUGGAAGUAGCUGCCCCUUGGACUGACAGCUGGAUAGAAGAAAAGGAGCUGCUGUGGUACAAUAUGGCCAUGAAUUUGCCAGGGCUGUGCCCUAUAAAAUGAAGAUGAAAACACAUCGUUGCAUGGGUGUGACUCAAUCUGGGCAAUUGCUACUGAUGACAAGUACUCUGCCACAAACUGUUGAAUGAAUUGGGCUGGAUGGGAACCAAAGCAGACAUUUAACAUAUUUGGACCAAUCUGAAAGAAACUUCUGUGCAGAAAACAACUGCUUCCUUUUCUGCUUUCCUGAUGUAGUGGAAAUGCUGGGUCAUGGCUUGAAACACUGAUUGAGCACCUGGUUGGAAAGCAGAGGCAACUCAGGGGAGCUCAGGUGCAUUGCAUGCACCUGAGUGAUUGGAACGGGUGGAGCCAGGACCUCAUUUAAGGGUUGGCAGUAGAGGCAAAGUAUCUUGCUGGAGCUCCGUUCUUUUUGGAGGCCUUUCACAGGUAACCAAAGGUGGGCCUGGACCUGGAUCUGUCCUGAAGUUGAUGGGAAAAGGAACUGUGCAUCCAAGCUUCACAGCAGGCUCUUCUCCUUACCAUGCAACAAAAAUCCUAGUCCCUUCUCGGUGUUUGGAAGAAGAGCAGAGAGAGUCUAGGACACAGUGAACUCCUAACAAAUGACCUGCCACCCCUAACAACUGUAGUAGCGAUCUUCCAGAGAUGCAGGCAAUGCCACCAGUUCCUCAAGGUUCAUCAAGCAGGAUUUACAUGUUGCUGAUUGUAAUUGUUUGCAGCCAUGUAUUAACACAUCUCUGAAUUUUGAUUUGGAAAACUCAGUGAUUGGAGGUCUUCUGGCACUAACAAACUACUGCCCUUUCUGGUUUGUGAAUCUGAAUCAGGUGCUGCAAAGCCCUCAUUUUAUUGCGAACAGCUGGAUGAAACCAAAUGCAUAACAAAGCAAAUCUUUCACAAGCAGCUUAAGCGCUGGAUACACAAUGAGGACAAUUGCAUUUCAGCCCAGAUGUAGUUGCACUUAAGCCACAGGGAAGCAAUUCAUUUAUAUGCAAACUUCCCAAGCACUUUGGGAUGAAAAUACUAUGCACAAUCAGUUUCAUACGCUCUACUUAUGUGACAAACUCCCAUUUUGUAUUAUUGUUUUCCUAGUUUUGCUGUGCCAAUCAUUCUGCAAUCCCUUGUCUUCAUUCUGAUCGUGGCAGAACAGCAGGCAGAUACUUUCAAAAGUAUGUGGUGCAUAAGCAUCUCUUUCAGGGUCCUUCUGCCUUCUGUUUCUACUGUGAUGCUCUCUGGCCUCAGCAGAAACAACAAACCUACACACCAGCAGCUGCAAAUUCUUCCUGAUUUGAGAAGUCUUCUGGAACAAUUUGGUAACUUGCUCCGUUCCUUUUUGUUGAACCUUGCAAAAAAUGUCUUUAGUGACUGUGUUAUCUAGUAGGUAAAUGAGGAGAUUAGAAGCCCUGGACCACCUUUGGUCUUGUACAGUACUGCUGAAAAUAGACAUCACAUGGUGUCUAAAUUAAGUAUGUGUUGACUCCCUAAGGCAGCUUCACUCCAAGUCAAAUGCCACCGUGUCAUGCAAUGGCUGCUCAGCCUCCUGUCUUUUGUUUCCUCAUCUAUAGCACUCAGCCAUCCGAAGAGUGUACUGAGAGUUCACUGGCAUUUCAGAAGACUUUUGAGAUUCUUGGACAAUCAAUCUCAUAUGAACAGAAAGCAGUUGGUAUUUCUUCCUUUUUUAGUGACGUCCCUCUGCUGAUGAUAUUAUGCUCUCGCAUUCCUGAGCCAAGCUUGUUUGAGGGACUUGAUUUUGGUGGAGCUUAAAAUCUGUUUUCUUCCUCAGAGAGGAUGCUGGUAUACACCUUUAAACAUAGCAAAUCUCAAAUGCAUGGAAGCCUUGCAUUCAAGGUCCCUGCAAACUGCCUUCAUUUGGCCUUCUUCAUCUUUCUUAAUAUACUCAAGCAAGGAAAGCUAGAACAGUUCAAUACAAGCAUGUUCUGCACACCAUGUAGCCUUGUACAAUUGGAACAAAUGAUUAAGUACUGAUUAGAAGGUUUAGUUUAUGGCCAGAAACCUGCAAUUAGAUACCCACAUGAUUCCAGUUUUUGUCAAAAGGUAUAGUCCCAAAUUUGAAUAUAGAUUCCCACUCCAGGACCAAAGUUUCCAUCCUCUGUUAAACAACUCUUCACUUACAGUCUUUAUGUUACUUAAUUAAAUUGUAGCAGGUUUUUUUUCACGACCUGACCUCUCUUAUGGCUUUCUGCUGUUACAGAGUGAUGGAAGAUGGGUGUUUAGAGAGCAAGUAACAGAGAAGGAAUUGUUCACAACAGGUUUCAGGCUGUGCUCUCUAAGCAGUUCUGUCUGCAGCUGAUCUUCUUUCAUGUUGUGUCUUUGACAAUUCCCAUUCAAAAAGCAUCAGCAAAUGCUAGAAGCACACCCACACUUUAGGUGCUCAGGCACAAUCCCUGUAGCUCUGGAAUAUCCCUCUCCUCUCUGUCAGGGAAGACUCAACUCAGUGAUGCCAUUGUGAAUGGAUGAGUGGGAGAAAGACAUUAUCAGUAACAGAGGGUAAUGCAAAUGACCAUUUGCAUUAAGAUUGUGUCAGGCUUGGUCCACGGCUUUCCAUGAAGAUAUUGGUGCCAAAGCAUCUCCAGGGCAGGGCAGAGACUUCAGGGCUGGAGAGCUGGAAUAAUCCUUGGGGGCCUAGGAUGAGGGCACCAGAAGGUGCAGGGCAGUGGAGGAGCCCUGCUGGCUGCAGCAAUGGAACUGGGGCCUAUGGAGGCCUCUACGCAGGAGAAAUCACACCUGUCCCUCCUGUGGUUUUGUGGAGCUCAGCUGGGGAAGUGGAUUCGUUAUGUUGGCUGUACUGUCAGCAGGUCCCUUUGGAAGUCAUGCCUGGGCUGCUCUGAGAGAUGGCUGUUCCCUUCAACACGCGCAGUCACACAUAGCUAAUGGAACCAGGAUUAUUGCAGUAAUUUAGGGAGGAAAAAAAGGAAAGUGUGUAUUGCCAGGUUGAAUAAAAUGUAAGGCUUGACAUGGGCAGAGCUCCUGCCAGUUGAAGUGUUUGCACCUGGUCUUACUGGAAAUUCGUGUGGCAGAAGAUUCUUGCUGAAGUAUUUGUGUUGCCAUCAGCAUGGCAGCGACUUGCCUGCACGUACUCAGACACCCAGGAGGCCAGGGCUCAGGGCUCUUCGAGGAGGUCAGUUUUUAUAUAGCAAAGCAAACAGUUUAGCUAAUCAAGGAUAUUUUUUCUUUUCUUUUCUGAGGCUCUUGGCAUCCAGCCCUGUUACUUGCAAUCUUUAAUUUGUACUGUGGCUUCCUUUUCCCCGCUGCCUUCUCACUCACUCCAAUUUUCCCACACACUUGUUUCCUAACUCUACCUCCUAUGGAGGUCGUCAUUUAUUUCAGACCCAAAUUUAUCUCAGUCCUACACAACACUGCUGUUACCUCAUCAUUUAUUCCUGUAAAAGACUAUCACUGGAUAUUCAUGAGAUUAACAAGUUUGUGAAAAAACAGUGGAGCCAUUUUUUGUAAGAUAGAAAACAGUUGACGGUUACAAAGGUAGAUGUAAAUUUAUUCAUACACACUUAUACAAAUUGAUUGUACACCAACCUGGACCUUCCUUUUGGUUAUACAGCUGUCUGAAGGGCGACACUGGGUUUUCAGUUUUGUUUUGUUUUAUUUUGUUUUUAAAGGAUUUUUGUGUGUGUCUGUGGUAGAGAUGGGAUGUAAGCUGUACACCUUACUCACAACAUGGCCAUGGAAAAGCCUGUUACCAUAAAGCUUCCACAAUAAGGGCGAAGAUAUUUGACGAAACAAAGUCAUGUUUUGGCAGGGCUUUCCUUCAGCUAAAAAAAUGCCUAAACAAACAUGGAAGAGAUAAAGGCUUUUUUUCUGGCUGCCACAGCUAUACAGCCACACAGUAUUUGCCCACAUCACUGAGCCUGGCUUGCUUGAGAGCUGACAAUGAGAUGCACAGGAACAUGGAUCAGAAAUGACCUGCUCUCAUCACCAGGUUCUUUCCCAGAAAAUCUCCUUUUAACAACCUUUUCUAAAAAGCCAUACAGAAUCCAAAGCAUUCCUUCUGUCUACAUACACCCCAAAAGCUGCAAAACACCACCAUCUUGUAACAAACGCACAGCCUGUGAGGCAGCUGUGGUUUCACCUGAUUUCACGUUGUUUAUGGCAAAUAGUUGUUCUUCUCCUUCCAAACUCUUCUGCCUCUGAAUGCAGCCCAGCUUGGCAUGGCAGCACUUAUCAAGCUGUGAAGCAAGGUGAGAACAGCUAAUGAAGCCUGACACACAUGCCACAUAUUUUCUCUCUAACUAUUCCUCAUAGCCACUUACAUGCAAGCACACAACAGUUUUAAUGAACUGAAGUGGGGGGCUAAAGACAUUGGGAGGCAGUGGGUAGCAUGCAGUGUCUGGCCUGUGUGCAGGCCUUCUGCAGGAUAUUCAGUCAUGGCUUGAGUCCCACAGGCAGUGUAUGAUGGCUGUUAUUGUUCUCUGGCGAAGAAGUCCCUCCGACUGAAAGCAGCCACACACUGGAAAGCUGAUCCUGCCAAGAUGCACACUGUAUUUGCUCUGUGAGGCAGUUGGGCCAGUACUUUUCAUUACUUUCAGAAUCCACCACUGACGAAAACGCAGCUCUUUAUAAGGUGGGACGUGUUUUAAAGGAAAAGUUGGGGCAGAUUCAACUGGUAUAAAGCUGCAUAGCUUUAUUAAAGACCGGGGGGUGUUGCUGAUUUAUACCAGCUGAGAAGUUGGCUAACGUUCUUUUGGAGCCAUCACCUCUCCCAUUUGCAAUUGCCAGCUGAAAAGCUGGGAAAUACAAGGAGAAAUGAAAAAUGGAGCACAUUUAUGUGAAAAGGCUUCUAUGCAAAACAAAUGUCUGCUCACUGCACAUAAGCUGAAAUAAUACAGCCGUUAUUGGAGCUGUGCUACAAUAAAAUAAGCUGGAUGAGUCAACCAGCAGUGCAUCUAAUCUCCACUGGCUGCCUUUCCGGUCCCCAAGCUCCCCAUCUAUUUUUAUCUCUUCUUCUUUUUUUUUUUUUUUUUUUUUUUUUUUUUUUUAAUAUACUUUUUGGUUUACAAGCAAUAAAUCUACAAAUUUUGGGUCCCCUGUGUGCACUCUUGCCAACAGGCCAUUCAGCAAUCAGGACAUUACCCAGACCACUACGGCUGUUAGGCCACAGAAGGGGGAUGCUAGGAAUCAGAUUCAAGAGACACCGUGUGCAGAGAGCAUGGCAGUGCUACUGAUAGUGUGGGGCAUGGCAGACCCUUCUGUGCUGAAGGUAACGCUCAGCAUGCAGAUCAGCAGGCUGUACACUUCAGGUGGCACAGCUGUGCCACUGCAGCUUGUGUGAGUAUGGCAAAACAUGCUCUACUGAUAGAUGUGCAGGGGUGUGAAUGCCUGAGUUGCUCUGGGAUGAGCUUGUUUCCAAACCUGCAGGAACACAGCUUGGUCCAGCGCUCUAGCCAAACCUCAUGACACGGUGUAGGGCAUGUCCAGACAGAAUAACACAACGUGCUCGACGGUCCUGCUGUGAACUGUAGAAGAGCUAACACUAAAAUGGCACGGGCAGUCAGAGCCUGCUUCUGUGACUGUACAAAAACAAUGUGUGAGCAGACACUUCCCACAGACAGCAUGCACAGCAAGAGCUCAAAAAACAUCAACUCUGCAGAAGAAAGUCGGAAAAAACCCACUGCUUUGGGCAUGGAAGACUGAACUGGACAAAACAGAAACAGCGUCUCCAGGCGCUGACUACAGCCUGUAGUUAGAGGAAAGUGGACAUAAACCAUUUCUGGCUCAAUUCAUCAAACUCCAUCAGGCUCUUUCUUAAAAGGUCAAUGCUAACAGGGAGCCAGCAAGAGUAGUCCUGGGACUCUGAUACACUGCCCAUGAAGCUCCAGCGUAUUAGCACUGACAUUUCUCUAGUCUUCCAAACUAGAAAUCUACCUUUGCAACUAGCACUCAUGACAGCGGUGAUGAAAUGUGAGGUGAUGAAAUGUGAGUAGCUUAGGAGUCAAGAGUUUUUACACAUUCUUAUUUUUAAAUCUUUUUUCUUUUUCCUUUCCUUUUCUUCCUAUCAAAGUCAACACACUAAUGCCUUCUGCAGGUGACUCUGACCCAUGUGGGAUGUUCUGUUUUCAUUCAAACUCCACAACUCCCCACUGUGGGGUCGUAUAUUUGGGGUUAGCCAAUGCACUUUUGCCUUUCAGAAAUGGAAUCAAAUACACAAGAUGGCAGAAGGUAGCAAGUCAGAUCUCUAUCUGUGCCCCUGUUUGAACUUCAGAUAUCCUCUGCCUCCACCAUCACGAGUUUACUUUUACAAUUAGUUUACUUUUAUUUAGCGUGCAAAACUGAGUGCACACACUUGGCUAUAUGCAAAUAAUCUGAGCAAACUAGAAUGUGGAAGAAAGGUGUCACCCUGAGUGCUAUAAAAGGAAUUUUUGGCACGUGAAUCCAUGCAGUGAUCUGAUUCUCUAAAACACAAUCCAUGCUAUGGCUCAAAUUCCCCCCCUGUGGAUUAUAUCAGUUAAAAAGCUGGUCCCGACACUUUUAUGAUAGCAUAACAUCAGUGUCUGGAUAUUGGUGGAACUGUCAUGAGUUCUGUGAUAAUGAUUCAAAUGUUUUUAAUAUUGUAAAAAUGGGCUUGUUUCUCCACUGUCUCUCUCACAGUGGCUUGGAAGAGAAGCUAGGGCACAGGCAGAGAAGAUAGAUGCAGAUAUUUGGUACUUGAUCAUAACAGAACUACCCCACACAAAGAGUUAAUUCAGCAGAAGAUAAAGGAUGUACAAAUUAGUUUCAAAUUAUUCUCUUAUAGACAUCUUAAUACAGGGGAAGGACGGGCAGCUGGCUGUUCUUAUCCCUAAGCAGGAGGAAUUAUCUACAGGGUAGUUGCCAGCUCUAAGGUCACUCUGUACUCUCACACAACUUAAUGAGACCUGAGAAAGAAACUUGCUGGGUUCUAUUCAGUUAACAAAUAUUAGAUGUUCUGCUUUCAUUAAUAGCAUCCUUUUGAAUCUGUGAAGGUUCAUUUAAUGAGCAAGACUUUAUUUAGGUACUCAUGUCCUUCCAAGGACCCAGCUGAAAUUAAAGGAUCACACUAGCCUUCAGCUGCUAUCAUAAAAUCAUUACAGAAUAUUGUAUAAUUACACCCUUCAUGCAGUUUCAUUUUAAAACACAUCCUGGCCUAGCCACUCUUGACUAAACUUGAAACGACUGGGCAGAGAUGUGUGGGAUGACACACUGAAAUUAGACAGAUGAGCACAGGUUAGGCUGGAGGUAGAGGCUGUGAGAUUCAGGACCAGAUGCUCAGGCAGGAGCUACAGCUUCAGUUUGAAACAGCGGGGACAGAGUUGCAAGGAGGAAAUUCACAGACUACCUGGGAGUGCUGUGGCUGCCCAGAGCCGGCACUCCCAGCCUUUCACUUUCCUGCCCACUAGACACGUCUAAAUAUAUUGAGAAUAAACAAGAAGGAAAACAAUUGCUGACUGUAGUCUGAAUAAUAAAAGCCUGGCUUUCCUCUUGGAACUGCACUGUUGCUCUUAAGCCACCCCAGCUGCCCUCUCAGGGUCCAGGAUGUCAGCACAGCUCCUCCAGUGGAUUAAUGCUUUGUGUCCACUCUGGAGCCAUCUACAACAGCCCUUUAAAUGCUGUAUUGUAAGUCUGGGGUGGAUUUCUUAGUCGGAAGAUCAGCAUUACCUCUCUACUCCAGAUAGCUGGUUUCUGUAUGAUAUAAUUCCAGCAAGAACAAAAAAACAGAGGUUGAAAAUAAAACUGUGCAUGGGAUGUACGGAGCUGCCAGCAGUACAGUCCUUUGUUCACAGCAGGAACAGGUAGAGCAUACAUUAUAAACACUGACAGACAGAUCCAAGAGAUCCUAAUGGUAGAACAAAAAAGUUUUCUUAACCUCUAAUAGAUAGUGUGACUGUAAGAGCCAACUCAAAGGCAAAGGCUGAAUUAGUUCUGGCUGAAACUCCAUGCAUUUCAGUUCCCUAUAAUGAAUUUGUCCCUGCAGAGCAGUGCAAUUAUUCUUUCAAUACCAGGAUCACCCACAUGUCCAGAGCAUUCCUACUUACUGUGUAUUUUGGUUAUUUAGCACUACUGAGAGAAGAUGAAAAAAGAUAGAAAAACUUUACCCAGUUCUUUUUUGUAACUGCAGUCAAUUCUUCAAAGGCUGGCAUGCUGUCCCUCUGCCAAGUACUACAGCACAGCCUUUACUUUCCCUCCUCUUUUUGCCACUGUCAGAAGGGCAGCUCAUAAACUAGCUUUGCUCCAGACUGUAUCUUACAGGGUACCCGCUAUGUGAAAAGACACGUCCUUCUCCCAAGCCAGUGCAGUUUGCAUUCUCAUGGUUUUUACUCAUUGUGGUUUUGGAAUACAAGAGUGAAAUCAGCAGGGCUGUCACUCCAGGGCAUUUCAUCAGGAUCAAAACUACGUAAAAAUAGGCACAAAGAGAAAAUAUAUACUCGUUGCUGAUUUAUCUAUUAAUGCUGGAGAGCAGUUGUAUCUCUGAUGUUUUGGAGAAGGAUCAGACACCUUCAUAGACAAACAGCACCAUCCAACAUAUGGCAGUAGAUGAAGGUUGCCUUUUGCUUCUCACAUUCACUCUGAAUCCUUCUAAAUCAUUCCUGCCAACACAAUAUGGUCCCUGAGGAUCAUUAACAUUCUUCAGAAGAGCAAAUCUCUCAGUUAUAUAAUAGGUUAGGUUGCACGGAAUAACAGGUAUGAAAAGCUCCCUCAGGGAAGACACCUGCAGAGACUCUUCCUUGACCUUCAUUCAGCUCUGCUGCACCUACAGAUGGCUGCUGUUUGACUCAGCACUGCAUGAGCAGUACAUACUCAGAAUACAUCCUAGGAACAAAACUGCCUUCCAAUUUUGUUUAAAGUGAAAACCAUUCCUUUUUAAAGUCAUUAACAACUGAAUACAUUCCUCCAUUCACUCACUUUGUUAAUAUGUGUAUCUCAAAGUACAAAAUUUCUAAACAGAGAUUGCUGGAGGAAGUGUAAUUUCAUAAGAGUCCCUCAAAACAUUACAAACGCAUUAAAAAUACCCUGUUAAUCAACUGAGGUCCAAGCAGCACAGCCUGUAGCACACUGUAGCUCACACGUUACCAGUACAAAUAAAACUAUUUCUUUUGACUGCAGUAGGCAACUUAAUUUGAUGUAUUUCAGCUAAAUGUAAAUGGAAUCAACAUAAAACUUCCACCAACACUCAUACAUCUAAAUUUCACUUGGAUUUCCUAAGCAAACAUACACAGUACUUUCCCAGACAACAUACAUAGGUAGACUUCCCAACAAGUAGUAAGCAUCCAGACACUGUGAGGUUUUCCACAGCUGCUCACCCUGAAACUCUGUCAUUGUUGAACUCAGUAGGUUUUCCUAAUGCUGCAAAGCUCACUCAGCUCCCUAUAAAUAUUAUUUCAGUGUAUGGAUAUGGGAUUCAGAUGUUCUUUAAGGACAAACAGAAAGGAAGAGGCAGAUCUAGCAUUUAUCAGGUCUAAUGUUUACAAACUGCAGAGGGAAAAAGUAUGCUAUUGAUCCCAAUAUAGUAGCUGUCCUCACAUCCUUCAAGGCGCAUCUGCUCAGUGUAUCAGGCACCCUUGUUAUCCUGGGAGACUCAGAGGCUGACUUGACAACAAAGUGGAGAAAGGCCACUUGAAAUCUUUUUCUUUCUUGGAGCUCUCAGAAAAAAAAAACAACAAAAACCCACGAAAUCUUCACAAUGUAUCUCCCUAGCACCAUCUACUUAAUAAUAAGCAUUUAUUUUAUACUGGAAAGAUAGAAGGGUAUUCUCACUUUGUUCAGUCCAGUAAGCUUUUCUUCAGUCAGUGGUUUUUCCUAUGCUGCUAUGAUUCAUUAGCUCUUCUUCCAAUUCAGAGUUCAACUUCCACCAGCUGAUAAAAGUUCUAUGCCCAACUGUGCUCAGAGAAAAGCAGAAAGCCUGGCAAUAGCAGAGACCUAUGCAAUGACCGACUUAUCUGGAACUCCUGGGACUGAAGGUUUGAGCCCAAACAUUUAGAAGCUCACAGGAAAGCCAAGUAAGUUUGGUGCAAGAAGGUUUGAAAGCUGAGAUGUAGUUAGAAGGGUGCCUGUCACUGUGGUAGGGAAAGUCAUGGAAACUGAAAGCAAAGUGGGAGGUUCUGCUUUGGUAUGAAGCAGAUGACAGUAGAUGAGUAUGGCAGCUGGACAGAUAACAGAUGUAUUUCAUCAAGAUUGCAUCUUCUUGUGAAUGGCAACAAGAAGUUGUUUUCAGACACAACCAAAUCAGAGAAAGAAAGUAAAACCACAUGACAUUCAGUCGGCCUGACAGAAAACAAGACCAGCACACUUGGUGUGAGACACAGGAGCACACGGUCCUCACUAGCAGUUAGAACUCCACUUCAAGUGGUCAUUCUUUGCUCAGUUUCAAUCACCUUGAAUCAGGAAUCCCAGCUGUUCUGGCUCUGCAUUCAUUCUUGAACUCCAUACUUUUGAGUUAAGGCCGACUAGUAUUUUGCGAGUGCAAAAAACUAAUUUCUCCCUGAAGUCCCAUCUGAAGCAAUGGCAUAAUACCUGGCUCAUACUUUCAGCUCCACCAAACGCUGACUGCCGGGAAAACAGCCUACUUCUGUCAUUACUGACAAAAAAUAGACACGUAGCCUUCUCUUUACUUUGUCUAACUACUCCUUUUUGGUGCAGAUCUUUGUAGUAUCUCUUGGUUUACACCAGCUACCGUCCUCCCCCUGAGAGCAGCUUGCUUUUAAAGGAGAAGCAUUUCACAAGUCCCUCCAGAUAUAACUUGAUCCUUUUUCCUGGCAACCUGUACCAAAGGACAAAGCACACACCUGCAAGGUAGGGUACCGGUUUUAGCCUUGUCUCUGAAAAACCUAACUUUUCUGUAAUUGCUGAGAGUCACCUAAGAUACCUUUAUAGAGUAAAUCAAUACUCUUCUGGUGAAUGAUAAACCUGGAAGAGAGAAAUACUAUCUCCCUGUGCUAAGAUGGUCACGACCACCCUGUAAAUAAGCUGAUCAUAGACCUAAAUAACAGCAACAUAACAGCAAAUGAGCUAGUUCUUACAUCCCUGACAGAAAUGCAUGUCCCUCUGCUGGAGUACCACUAUGCAAGCAGCUGGGUGGGCACUGGGAAUAUGCAAAGGCUUUGAAGUGGAAGGCUGAGCAGCCAGCGAUGGAUAAAGAUGAGCAAAGAGGGAAGAAACAUUCUAGAGAAUCCAGAAGAAUGAAUCUGGUACAAACAGUACAAGACUUCUCUAGUGACAGCCUGUUUUGGAGGUCUUGCUCAUUCAUCUGUGGAGAUCUGACUAAGACCAAUUUGGAUUGCCACUCUCUUCCAAAGGGGUACCUGUGUGGAGUGACAGUGAAGAGGCUGGGGCAAAGAGAGGAAGCAGGAACAUCUUAAAGUAUCACAAAAAAGCGAAUUGAUUCAUCUUUGGAAUGACAGUAAUCACUAAUCUGAUUUCCACCAAACUCUGGGGGAAAAUUAAAAAUAUGCCAUGGUAUUUUCUUCUUCAAGAAAAGGGACAGUACCAUGUUCAUAGUCCUUGCCACAGUAUUAAAAAGUGAGGCUCUCACUGUCUGAUUACUCUCUGCCUAACGGGACAGGAUCACAUUUGUGAACUUGCUUGUGAUUGCGUAUGUGAUGGGCGGUGCUACACAAAAAGAAAACCAAUGGUUAAAUGAAUAAAGCAUUGAUCAUGCAACACAUGGAAUCAAUUUCUGACUCUGGUACAGACUUCUAUAUACCACUAGGAGAGUUCUUUUGACUCUUGCUAUAUCACAUCUGAGUGAAAUGACAGUAACACCUCCUCAUCGUGUAUUAAUUCUUUACCAUGAAGGGAAAAUUCAUUUCUCUUUGUGAAGUACUCGGUCCUGAAUUACUGAAACAAACACAGCAAAGACAGGAGUGACAUGUCUUUUGUCUUGUCCAUUCUAUGAUUCUGUGAUGGCACUUGCAUAGCCCAGGCAGCUUUGGCAAGUCCCCUGUAGGAUUCUGAUACACAGUAAUGCUGAGUGUGAGCUGAAUGGGACUAUUUAGGCCAAGGAGCUCUAAUGGAGAAUAUGGCCUUGCACAGCUUCUACUGUGCUGUAAACCAUACUUUCAGUGAUUUUAGCUUUCAUGGAUUUCAAAUGAUUAAGCAAAAGCAUUACAGUGCACCUUCAAGUGGCCUUCAAUAAAUAGGUUUUACUUUAGAAAAAGGUUUCUUAGUGAGUCUACCAGGAAAUAUUUGCAUGUGAAAUGAAGACAUUUGAAUGAAAACAGGUUUGUUUAUUUUAGGAGGCACUGCAGCCACCCACUGCAGGGCAGGGUUUCCAGCACAUCAAAACUGGAUGCCAAGGAGCUUCAGGAAGGGAAACAAGAAACAGAACAGGAAAUCGAGCAGUUCAGCUUCUUUUCACAUUAAUGGCCAAAAGUGGGCAGUGCUACUAAAAUAAUAUUGUAUAAGAUCUUCUUUUAAGCAAGAAAGCUUACUGUUUAUUUCCUACCCCAGUGUCUAUGCACAGAAAUCCUGGAGCACUGGAGGAAAUAACAUUAACCCUGUAUUUAUCCAGAAAAAUAGAAGUACUCUUAGUGAACAGAGUUAGUAGGGUUAGGACCAAGAAGAUGUUAUAUUCCUAUUGUAGGUUUCCCUGUACAAAAGAAGCCUUUCUUUUUUUUCUUUUUUCCCCCCUGAAAUGAAAAAUACAUAUUUUGUGCAGAACCAGCAUUAAUGCAGUAAUUAAGGAAACACCAGAGUACUGCCUUGUACGAAAUGCUACAUCACCUUUCUAAAUAAAAUAUAGACAGAAGUCAUACAAAAAUGUCCAUUGUAUCUUUAAUGAGUACGAGUACUGGAUCCUUAACCUGGUUUAACAUCUCACCUAGCAGCGGAUAAGAUGUGCACUGCAGUGUUAAAAACCUUCCGGGAAAGUAGUUAGGUUCCAAAUCAAGAAGGAACAUCACCAUCUCCUGAGUCAUCAGCAUUACUUCCUGCCU